AUUGCGUAAAUUUAUUGGAAGUUUCUUAGUUCUGUGAUUGCCUGGAAGAUGCUCCCGCUUUAGCCAAACGGAGUUGACUUGACUCUGAAAGUAGCUGCUGGGUUCUCUUAUCACUUUCCAGUUCCAGAUCUAGCGAUAGAGAUCUAACCAUCCUGCAUAUGAUGGGGUUCGUAUCUGAAAUGGAUUUAGAGGCAUGUCCAAGUAAGUGGAAAAUCGAAUCUGAAAUGGAUUCUGAGGAAGGUCCAAUUACUCCUUUGCGCUCUUCAUCCAAGUCCCUUCCUCUUCCGGGCGGCGAAUAUGAAGUGUUCUUGAGUUUUAGAGGCUCAGACACUCGUUACGCCUUCACCGAUUUCCUCUACACCCAUCUCAAAUGUGUUGGAGUUCGAACCUUUCGAGACGAUAACGAGCUUCGCAGAGGAGAAGAGAUCGGAUCAGAGCUUCACAAAGCAAUCAGUGAGUCACAGAUUUUAAUUCCAAUAUUCUCCAAAAACUAUGCUUCCAGUAAAUGGUGCCUCCGUGAGCUAGCUCAGAUGGUGGACCACAAGAGAACCACCGGUCAACUCAUUUUGCCCAUCUUCUACGAUGUUGAACCAUCGGAUGUGAGGCAUCAAUCUGGGACUUAUGAGGAAGCAUUUCGCGAGCACGAGAGGUGUUUCGAUGAAAGGACUAUUGUGAAAUGGAAAGAGGCACUGAAAGAGGUUGGAGCACUCAAGGGUUGGGAAGUCAACAAAGAAGCUGAUGGGUAUCAAGGAAAACUAAUAAAAGACAAAAUUGUUCCGACAGUUUUGUUUGAGUUAAAGAAGAAUUACAUGGUUUUAACUGAGAACUUGGUUGGAAUCAAUCACCACGAAAAUGAAAUGAUGAGAUUAUUAGAUGUUGACUCUAAUGAUGUACGAAUUGUUGGUAUCCAUGGCAUGGGCGGUAUUGGCAAGACUACCAUUGCCAAAUUCAUCUACAACAAACUCUUGGAUUGCUUUGAUUGUAGUAGCUUCCUUGCAGAUGUUCGAGAAACAGUGCAACAGCACAUGGGGGGUUUCGGUGCUUUGCAAAAUAAACUUCUCACUGAUACCCUAAAAUGCCAGUAUGACAUUCCUGAUGUUCAUCGAGGAAUCACCAUGAUUAAACACAGUUUUUUCAGAAAGAAAGUUCUCAUUGUUCUUGAUGAUAUGGAUGAAAAGUCUCAAUUUGAUUGGCUUGUGGGAAAUUGUGAUUGGUUUGGUGCCGGAAGUAGGAUCAUUGUUACAAGUAGAGACAAACAUGUUCUUAAUGCUCUUAAAGUGAAUGCAUCUUAUGAACCCCCAUUUAUGAAUUCGGCGCAAUCUCUUCAACUUUUCAGCAUGCAUGCCUUUAGAAGUAAGUUUCCUCCAAAAGACUAUGACACUAUCGCUGGAGAGGUUGCAUCCACUGCUGCAGGGCUUCCUUUAGCUCUUGAGGUUAUAGGUUCAUUUCUAUCUGAUAAGGAGUUCGUGGUUUGGGAAGAUACACUGAAGAAGUUGGAGAAAAUUCCUCAUGAUGAAGUCGAGAAAAAGUUGAGAAUAAGUUAUGAUGCAUUGAAUAGUGAACAACAACAGAUAUUUCUUGAUAUUGCAUGUCUUUUCUUUGGAAUGGAUAAAGCAACUGUGUUUUACAUGUGGGAUGAUUGUAGCUAUCAUCCAAAAACAGAAUUUAGUGUCCUUUGUCUCAUGUCUCUUGUAAAAGUGGGAGAUUCUAAUGAGCUGAGGAUGCACAAUCAGCUUAAAGCUCUUGGGAGGAAAAUUGUCUAUGAAGAAAAGAUUCCUGGAAAGCGUAGUAGGUUGUGGAAUCAUGAGGAAGCCCUAGACAUUUUGGAGGGACGGAUGGGAACAGAAAUGGUUGAGGCCCUAAGUCUUCGCUUUGAAUUAGGGUCUAGAAUCAAGCCUCGCUUUACAAAUGAGGAAUUCACAAAACUAUUAUGUCUAAGGUAUCUCCGAGUGGAUGGCGUGGACCUUUCUGGGGAUUUUGAGAAUCUUUUCUCUCAGUUAAGAUGGCUUAAUUGGCGUGGGUGCCCUCCAUACUUUAAACUAACCAACUUUUAUAUGAAGAAUCUAGUUAUUCUUGAUCUAUCAAAUAGUGGCAUCACAGAAGACUGGGACGGCUGGAAUCAUAUCAAGAUGGCAAAUAAGUUGAAAGUCCUACAACUGGCUAAUUGUGCUUUAAGGAGAACUCCAGACUUUUCAUCAUAUGCAAGUUUAGAGAUAUUGAUUCUUCGACGCUGUGAAAGUUUGGUCGAAAUUGACCAAUCCAUUGGCAACAUGAAGAAUCUAAAAAUUCUAGACAUUUCAUAUUCUGAUAUAAGGAGGUUACCUGAUGAAAUUUGGAUGUUAGAGAAGCUGGAAGUGAUAGAUUUCACAUGCUCUAGUUAUUUGAGAGGUGACAUUCCUAGUAAUAUGGGAAGACUAUCAUCUCUUAGGUUCUUGAGCUUUCGCGAUACUGAAAUUCAAAGCCUACCAACAAGCAUGGGGGAGCUCUCUUGCCUCCAAACUCUUAACUUAGGGGGCUGCACAGAGCUUCAAUCACAUCCAGAGCUUCCCUCAAGUUUAAGGGUUCUGUAUGUUGCUUCUAUCCCUAAUCUUACAAAUCUGGUUAAUCUGCAAGAAUUGCACUUUGUUGGGGGUGAGUAUGUGGAGAUUCCUAGAGAUAUUGGGUUAUUAUCCAAAUUGGAGAAAUUGACCUUGGAUUCUACCAAUAUUAGGACCCUGCCAAAAGAGAUUGGUGACUUUUCUCAGCUUAAGGUGCUCAAUGUACGAUUAUGUGAUGAUCUUCAAUGUAUAUUGGGGUUACCCUCAAGUCUAGUUGAUUUAUCUCUUGCACUUUGUGAUUCAUUGGAAAGGUUGCCGGAUCUGUCAAAUUUGAAAAAUUUGUUGAAAUUUUCGCUUAAUACUUGUGUUGGGCUGACAGAGGUUCAAGGGCUUGGAAACUUAGAGUCGUUGACAAGUUUGGACAUAAAUGCGUGCGAUAAGCUAGCCAACCUUGAAAAGAUGCGAGAUCUUUCAAAUCUAAAGAAGUUAGAGAUCUUAUGUAUUACUGAUUGUCUUGAACUUCUUGUGAUCCAAGGACUUGACAAAUUGGAAUCACUGAAAUAUUUGGAUUUGCAUGAUUGUGAGAACUUACUUGAGAUUGAGGGUCUUGAUGCUUUGGAAUCUGUGGAGGUAUUGAACCUGUCUGGGUGCACAUCACUGGGAACAAAACCAAAUCCGCCAAAUGCGCAUACCCAACAGUGCAAAGAUCAGAUUUAUUAUCAUGCCGAUUCAAUGUACAGGUAUUGGACAGCUUUGAGAGAGGAAAGAUUGAGCUCGAGGCUACAGGUGGUAAGUGGAUAUACAUAUGAUGAAGGUACACAAGAAGAAUUAUGAAAGCAAUGGAAGCUUGCAUUAGAAAAUAGUGCAGCAUCAAUUUGCUCCUCUACAGCUCUACUAGGCUUUGUAUUAAGAGAGUCAUGUAACAACUAGCACGUGUUUGCAUGCUAUGAAUAAGCAAUCCCGAUAGCAGCGGUAGAGUUUAAAUAAGAACUUCUCCAGACUCAUAAAGUUGCAGCUCAGGUCAACCAACAUGCAAAUCGGCUGCCCUAAAAUCAUAUGUUUAUAUACAGUUACAUCCUUUACAACUCAUUCCUUGAGCAUCCAAAUCUUGAUUUUUAUAUGGACACUUAUGGUCCAUGAAAAAGGAAUACAUUCUGUUGAGUUGCACAAUCUGCACCAGAAACAGUGUUUGAGGUCAAUUGUUCUAAAUAAUAGACUGCCAUAAAAUUACUUGAGGCAAAAAUUGCACUUUUUGCAUUCCUUGAUUUUUGGACACAAUUUAUGUGCUGUGACUCUGGUUGAUAGUUGAGAUAAGAGGUUGCCAGGGUGCCUAUAUGUAUAAGAACAUUUUUUUUUCCCUAAAGAUAUAUAUAUAUAUAUAUGUAUAAGAACUUGCUAGGGACUUCCUUUCUAGUAACCAAAAUCUGCUACUGCUUUGAGAGGUCUGUGGUACGUCUGCUUCAUGGCUUCCUCCAGGGGAAAAGGACAAAAUGAAGACGGAAUAUUAGCAUCAGCACAGAGCUUGGCACGAAUAGUAUGAAAAAGAAGAACGAGUGGCUUGCUACAAAUUGAAGAAUUUAAAGAAUAAGAGGGCGUAAAUCGCUAUCCAGUAAGGAGAUCAUACAUGUUCUCUCAAACUUUGACAUUCAAUUAAAAGAAAUCAUGUUGUAAUUUGGAAACAAUGAUGAGUUCUUGUGACAGGAUUAAGAUGUUCUAUUUUGAGAAAAGUGAUAAAGAACAGUCGAAUCUGAGAUAGUUUAUUAAUGCAAGGUCUUGAUAAAUGGUUAGAGAAUGAUGAGGCUUCCUUCACAUGGGAAGUGAA